ACGAGCGGCGGACGGCUGAGUAACGCGUAGGAACAUACCCCAAAGUGAGGGAUAAGCAUCAGAAAUGGUGUCUAAUACCGCAUGUGGUCUUCGGAUUAAAGCUUUAUGCGCUUUGGGAAUGGCCUGCGUCUGAUUAGUUAGUUGGUAAGGUAAUGGCUUACCAAGACAAUGAUCGGUAGCUGGUCUGAGAGGAUGACCAGCCAGACUGGAACUGAGACACGGUCCAGACUCCUACGGGAGGCAGCAGUAGGGAAUUUUCCACAAUGGACGAAAGUCUGAUGGAGCAACGCCGCGUGCAGGAUGAAGGCUUUCGGGUCGUAAACUGCUUUUAUGUGCGAGGAUUAUGACAGUAACACAUGAAUAAGGGUCGGCUAACUACGUGCCAGCAGCCGCGGUCAUACGUAGGACCCAAGCGUUAUCCGGAAUUACUGGGCGUAAAGAGUUGCGUAGGUGGCAUAGUAAGUAAGAAGUGAAAGCGUUCGGCUCAACCGGAUAAACAUUUCUUAAACUGCUAAGCUAGAGAAUGAGAGAGGUAGAUGGAAUUUCCAGUGUAGGAGUAAAAUCCGUAGAUAUUGGUAGGAACACCGAUGGCGUAGGCAGUCUACUGGCUCAUUUCUGACACUAAGGCACGAAAGCGUGGGGAGCAAACAGGAUUAGAUACCCUGGUAGUCCACGCCGUAAACUAUGGAUGCUAGCUGUUAGAAGUAUCGACCCUUCUAGUAGCGAAGCUAACGCGUUAAGCAUCCCGCCUGUGGAGUACGGUCGCAAGACUAAAACAUAAAGGAAUUGACGGGGACCCGCACAAGCGGUGGAGCGUGUUGUUUAAUUCGACGGUAAGCGAAGAACCUUACCCAGGUUUGACAUCCUUGGAAGCUUUGCGAAAGCAGAGUGUGCCUUCGGGAACCAAGUGACAGGUGAUGCAUGGCCGUCUUCAGCUCGUGUCGUGAGAUGUUUGGUUAAGUCCAUUAACGAGCGCAACCCUUAUAGUUAGUUGAAUUUUUCUAGCUAGACUGCCCUGGCAACAGGGAGGAAGGAGGGGAUGAUGUCAGGUCAGUAUCUCCCUUACAUCUGGGGCUACAAACACGCUACAAUGGCCGGUACAAAGGGCAGCCAACCCGCGAGGGGGAGCAAAUCCUAUCAAAGCCGGUCUCAGUUCGGAUUGCAGGCUGAAACUCGCCUGCAUGAAGUCGGAAUCGCUAGUAACGGUAGGUCAGCACACUACCGUGAAUACGUUCCCGGGUCUUGUACACACCGCCCGUCAAACCAUGAAAGUCGCCAAUACCUGACGUCCUAGCUUGUCUAGGCCUAAGGUAGGGGAGAUGAUUGGGGUUAAGUCGUAACAAGGUAACC
rnacentral:rRNA from 1 species